rnacentral:rRNA from 1 species
ACGUAGGGGGCAAGCGUUGUCCGGAAUGAUUGGGCGUAAAGGGCGCGUAGGCGGCCUGGUAAGUCUCUGGGGAAAUCUUCCGGCUCAACCGGAAGGCGUCUCAGGGAUACUGGCAGGCUAGGGACCGGAAGAGGUGAGAGGUACUCCAGGGGUAGGAGUGAAAUCCUGUAAUCCUUGGGGGACCACCUGUGGCGAAGGCGUCUCACCAGGACGGCUCCGACAGUGAGGAACGAAAGCUGGGGGAGCAAACCG